rnacentral:lncRNA from 1 species
GUGAUGUUCCCUGCCGACAUUCAGGAUAUUUUGUUGGUUGUUUAACUCUUCAAAAACUUGACAUAAGGGUCUAUUGAUUGUGGAGGAACUGAUCUCCUUCUCAUGGGUUCUUUGAGCUCCUGUGUGGGCAUAAGUAUAUCUUUGUUAUAAUUUGUUCCACCUGUGCCUGUCAAUUUCUUUCCACUUGCCUCCUCCCGUGACAUUCUGGCUCAUGUUUCUUCAUAAAGCUCUAAGCCAGUUAUUAAUAACAGACCAGUGAGCCUCCUGAUCCACCAAGACCAUAUGGUGUUUUUCAUAAAAGAGAGAGAUCAUUCCCUUGACUUUGGACUUCGCUUAUUGAACCCCUGGACAGAAUCAAGGUUGCUAAGAGACCACCUGUGCUGAAUACACUUUGUUCUGGCAAGAGCAGAAAACUGAGAAGCCGUGUUACCUACCACUACCUGGGAUUAAUUCAGGGAGCGGGAUAAUUCUGGAUAUGACUGGUAAAAACUGGAUAUUAAUUUCUACUACUACUCCCAAAAGUCUAGAAGAUGAAAUUGUGGGAAGACUUCUAAAAAUUUUGUUUGUUAUCUUUGUUGACUUAAUUUCUAUUAUAUAUGUUGUGAUAACUUCUUAGAAAGCUGACUUCCUUUCCAUGUACAUUUCAAACUGAAUUACAGUGAAUAAAAAUUUGUAUUUUAACUUGUUGAGUGACUCACAUUUUAUGACAUUGCCAAUUUAUUCUAGAAGCCAACAGGACACUGCAAUACAAACAACAUUGUGUAUUGUUUAGUUCUUUAUGGUUUAUGAAACAUUCACAUAUACUGAAGUGAAUUUUUUUCCCCAAAAACAUCUAUCCUACUGAGUCAUGAAACUUCUAGAUUUUUAGCCAGGUGUGGUGGCUCACACCUGUAAUCCCAGCACUUUGAGAGGCCCAGGUAGGCGGAUCCCUUGAGUGCAGGAGUUCGAUACGGGCCUGAGCAACCUGAAGAAAUCCCAUCUCUACUAAAAAUAAAAAUUAAAAAAAUUUGACAGGCAUGGUGGUGCAUGCCUGUAUAGUCCCAGAUACUCAUACUCGGGAUGCUGAGGUGGGAGAAUCGCCUGAGUCCAGGAAAUCAAGUUUGCAGUGAGCUGUGAUCACACCACUGCACUCCAGCCUGGGUGAAAGAGAGAGACCCAGUCUCAAAACAAAAACAAACAAACAAACAAACAACUUCUGGAUUUUU